CUUAGGUGUAUGUCCAUAGUGGCAUGGGGCGGAUUAAUAUCUUCACCCUCUUUUCAACCUAACUUAACCUGCUAGUAGCUAACAAGCAAGCUACAUCAAUGGUCUUUCGGAUGUUAACUUCUUCAUAUGCUAUGGGCAGCGGAGCCCAUUGCAUAUGAACCUCCGGCUGCUCGGCUGUAGAUGAGAAACCAACCUUCAAUGGCUGCCUAUUUAGAGAUGAAUGGCUACUUUGCAACCAGCCCAGUAGAUACUGCUUAGGUUAUAUCUCUGGAAAUUUGACAAUCCCUACAAUUCGAGUUAUAGGGUUUUGUCAUAUUGCCACAAAAUCAAAACUUUUUUGUUUAUAAAUUUAGGCAAAUGUUAAAAGAAGGUAGUGAUGUUAUCUUUCUAUUAACAUUUAUUAAAUUUAUAAACAAUCUGACUUUUUCACCGGUAUUUACAAAACUUGAUGAAGAUUUGAAAUAGUUUUAUUUGGCAGAUUUCUUAUAAGUUUUGUGAAUACUGGUGAAAAAGUUUUGUAGGCCACAUAAUGCUUUUUUUCGACUGCUUUUAAAAUUUAAAAUUUAGAGUUAUCGGGUUUUGUCAUAUUUCCACAGAUAUAUAAUUGUGUCUUCGCGCGGAAAGGUUCCUUUUUCCUGAUGGAGGUGCUCCAUAUUACAACUUUAAAGGGAGAACCUUUCCCACCUCGGCCUAUGUGUGCUAUAGGACGGUCCUCCUCACCUUUAAAAGGCUUUCGAUACAGUCAGCACUGCCACGCCUUUCCAUCUCCAGCUUACCCUUCCUGCCAAAACAGAAUGACACGUUAGAUUUGGAAUUGUUUUUGAGAAAGCCCGUAGAGGAAAAUAGGAGAACAUUAUUCCAAUAUGGGGUAAUAUCUUCGGCACUUAUUAACCUCCAGAAAGCCAUGGAAUCCAUGAAAUCAUGAAAUGAAAUAAAUAAAUAAAAUCCGUGGAAAUUCUCCAACUUGGCCAAAAGUAGUUGACUGAGGUAAUAACAUCCAGAGAUAUAGCCAAACUACAAUUGUGCAAUAACUAACAUUUUGUAUUCGAUUAUGAUUUAAAUUUUAUUUAUAAGUUUUAACAAGUGAUAAUGUACAAAUGGGCUUAAUAUGAUACAA
rnacentral:sRNA from 1 species